rnacentral:rRNA from 1 species
UACGUAGGGUCCGAGCGUUAAUCGGAAUUACUGGGCGUAAAGCGUGCGCAGGCGGUCUUGUAAGCCAGAUGUGAAAGCCCCGGGCUCAACCUGGGAACUGCAUUUGGGACUGCAAGGCUGGAGUACGGCAGAGGGAGGUGGAAUUCCGAACGUGGUAGCAGUGAAAUGCGUAGAGAUGUGGAGGAACACCGAUGGCGAAGGCAGCCUCCUGGGCUAGUACUGACGCUCAUGACACGAAAGCGUGGGAGCAAACAGG